rnacentral:rRNA from 1 species
UACGUAGGGGGCAAGCGUUGUCCGGAUUUAUUGGGCGUAAAGAGCGUGUAGGCGGCUUGGUAGGUCCGCUGUGAAAACUCGAGGCUCAACCUCGAGAUGUCGGCGGAAACCACUUGGCUAGAGUCCGGAAGAGGAGAGUGGAAUUCCUGGUGUAGCGGUGAAAUGCGCAGAUAUCAGGAGGAACACCAAUGGCGAAGGCAGCUCGCUGGGACGUGACUGACGCUGAGACGCGAAAGCGUGGGGAGCAAACAGG